AUUGAACGCUGGCGGCAGGCCUAACACAUGCAAGUCGAGCGGUAACACAGGGAGCUUGCUCCCGGGUGACGAGCGGCGGACGGGUGAGUAAUGUCUGGAAACUGCUUGAUGGAGGGGGAUAACUACUGGAAACGGUAGCUAAUACCGCAUAAUGUCGCAAGACCAAAGAGGGGGACCUUCGGGCCUCUUGCCAUCAGAUGUGACCAGAUGGGAUUAGCUAGUAGGUGUGGUAACGGCUCACCUAGGCGACGAUCCAUAGCUGGUCUGAGAGGAUGACCAGCCACACUGGAACUGAGACACGGUCCAGACUCCUACGGGAGGCAGCAGUGGGGAAUAUUGCACAAUGGGCGCAAGCCUGAUGCAGCCAUGCCGCGUGUAUGAAGAAGGCCUUCGGGUUGUAAAGUACUUUCAGCGGGGAGGAAGGUGUUGAGGUUAAUAACCUCAGCAAUUGACGUUACCCGCAGAAGAAGCACCGGCUAACUCCGUGCCAGCAGCCGCAGUAA
rnacentral:rRNA from 1 species